CGUCGAUCGAUAAGAAAAAAAUUAAAAUAUAAUAAUGCCUCGAUCAUUUAAAACUACGGAACCCUAAAAACGAUAUAUUCCCGAGCAUAUCGGAACUACUAUGAAAUAGUACAUUACGAUACAAGUGCGAAAAAUAGGAAAUUCGAAACGAGUGGCGAUAAAUUAAAACACGACCGAAGGGAGUGUUUUAAAUCGACACGAGUUGCGAAUUACCUAUUCGCACAUGUAUCGUACAACGUUUUACAGUACAUAUGGCCCUUUAAAUGUUCGACACAGUAACAUAAUAUGCUACUUCUCGCACUAGUGCUAUAAAGUAGCCCCAUAUGUACUGUAAAAGUUUUAAACCUGUGACAGAAGAGGUUGAAGCCAGGCUGUCGAUACGCCAAGCAUCCGAACAUCAUGGUGUAGUCGAUUACAUAUUGUUGGAAAAGUUUGAUAACUUUUUAUUGUUCAAUAAUUAUGCUUCUAAACAUAAGUAACUAAAAUAUGACACUGUUUUGAAAUAAAGUUGAUUUUUCUUAAA